GAUGAACGCUGGCGGCGUGCCUAACACAUGCAAGUCGAACGGAGAUUACGGACGGAAGUUUUCGGAUGGAAGCCUGUAAUUCUUAGUGGCGGACGGGUGAGUAACGCGUGGGCAACCUGCCCUAUACAGGGGGAUAGCAGCUGGAAACGGCUGGUAAGACCGCAUAAGUCGGUUAAAUCGCAUGAUUUGAUCGGGAAAUGAGCAAUCAGGUAUAGGAUGGGCCCGCGUCCGAUUAGCCAGUUGGCAGGGUAAAAGCCUACCAAAGCGACGAUCGGUAGCCGGACUGAGAGGUCGGACGGCCACAUUGGGAAUGAGACACGGCCCAAACUCCUACGGGAGGCAGCAGUGGGGGAUAUUGCACAAUGGAGGAAACUCUGAUGCAGCGACGCCGCGUGAGUGAAGAAGUAUUUCGGUAUGUAAAGCUCUAUCAGCAGGGAAGAUGAUGACGGUACCUGACUAAGAAGCCCCGGCUAACUACGUG
rnacentral:rRNA from 1 species